AAUAGAUACCCGGGUAGUCCACGCCGUAAACGAUGAGUGCUAAGUGUUAGAGGGUUUCCGCCCUUUAGUGCUGCAGCUAACGCAUUAAGCACUCCGCCUGGGGAGUACGGCCGCAAGGCUGAAACUCAAAGGAAUUGACGGGGGCCCGCACAAGCGGUGGAGCAUGUGGUUUAAUUCGAAGCAACGCGAAGAACCUUACCAGGUCUUGACAUCCUCUGCCAACCCUAGAGAUAGGGUGUUCCCCUUCGGGGGACAGAGUGACAGGUGGUGCAUGGUUGUCGUCAGCUCGUGUCGUGAGAUGUUGGGUUAAGUCCCGCAACGAGCGCAACCCUUGAUCUUAGUUGCCAGCAUUUAGUUGGGCACUCUAAGGUGACUGCCGGUGACAAACCGGAGGAAGGUGGGGAUGACGUCAAAUCAUCAUGCCCCUUAUGACCUGGGCUACACACGUGCUACAAUGGAUGGUACAAAGAGCUGCGAACCCGCGAGGGUAAGCCAAUCUCAUAAAGCCAUUCUCAGUUCGGAUUGUAGG
rnacentral:rRNA from 1 species